GACGAACGCUGGCGGCGCGCUUAACACAUGCAAGUCGAACGGAAAGGCCUGCUUUCCCUUGUGGAUUGCGGGUACUCGAGUGGCGAACGGGUGAGUAACACGUGAGUGAUCUGCCACCAACUUGGGUAUAAGCCUGGGAAACUGGGUCUAAUUCCCGAUAGGACUGCAGGGUGGUGCCUGUGGUGGAAAACGAUUUUCUAGUGGGUGGGGAUGAGCUCGCGGCCUAUCAGCUUGUUGGUGGGGUAAUGGCCUACCAAGGCGGCGACGGGUAGCCGGCCUGGGAUGGUGGACCGGCACAUUGGGACUGAGACACGGCCCAGACUCCUACGGGAGGCAGCAGUGGGGAAUAUUGCACAAUGGGCGGAAGCCUGAUGCAGCGACGCCGCGUGGGGGAUGACGGCCUUCGGGUUGUAAACUCCUUUCGACCGCGAGGAAGCCACCUGGUUGGAAGGGUAGUGACGGUAGUGGUAGAAGAAGCACCGGCUAACUACGUG
rnacentral:rRNA from 1 species